GUACCAAAAUUCAACCUAAUCCUAUCCAACAACUGCAUAAAAAUUGGAAUAAUUAUGAUAAGAUAAUCAAUACUGAUUAAAUUAAGCUAUAUCUUUAUCACAUAACAUAUUAUUAUUAUUAUUAUUAUUAUUUUUUUUUUAACCAACGGCGAUGGGAGCACACACCGCGUAAAGUGAGACGCCACCACGUGCUGUUCCCGGUCCCC
rnacentral:lncRNA from 1 species